UACGGAGGGGGGCUAGCGUUGUUCGGAAUUACUGGGCGUAAAGCGUACGUAGGCGGCUUUGUAAGUUAGAGGUGAAAGCCCCAGAGCUCAACUCUGGAAUUGCCUUUAAGACUGCAUCGCUUGAAUCGUGGAGAGGUUAGUGGAAUUCCGAGUGUAGAGGUGAAAUUCGUAGAUAUUCGGAAAGAACACCAGUGGCGAAGGCGACUAACUGGACACGUAUUGACGCUGAGGUACGGAAAAGCGUGGGG
rnacentral:rRNA from 1 species